AGCGUACACGGUGGAUGCCCUGGCAGUCAGAGGCGAUGAAGGACGUGCUAAUCUGCGAUAAGCGUCGGUAAGGUGAUAUGAACCGUUAUAACCGGCGAUUUCCGAAUGGGGAAACCCAGUGUGUUUCGACACACUAUCAUUAACUGAAUCCAUAGGUUAAUGAGGCGAACCGGGGGAACUGAAACAUCUAAGUACCCCGAGGAAAAGAAAUCAACCGAGAUUCCCCCAGUAGCGGCGAGCGAACGGGGAGCAGCCCAGAGCCUGAAUCAGUGUGUGUGUUAGUGGAAGCGUCUGGAAAGGCGCGCGAUACAGGGUGACAGCCCCGUACACAAAAAUGCACAUGCUGUGAGCUCGAUGAGUAGGGCGGGACACGUGGUAUCCUGUCUGAAUAUGGGGGGACCAUCCUCCAAGGCUAAAUACUCCUGACUGACCGAUAGUGAACCAGUACCGUGAGGGAAAGGCGAAAAGAACCCCGGCGAGGGGAGUGAAAAAGAACCUGAAACCGUGUACGUACAAGCAGUGGGAGCACGCUUAGGCGUGUGACUGCGUACCUUUUGUAUAAUGGGUCAGCGACUUAUAUUCUGUAGCAAGGUUAACCGAAUAGGGGAGCCGAAGGGAAACCGAGUCUUAACUGGGCGUUAAGUUGCAGGGUAUAGACCCGAAACCCGGUGAUCUAGCCAUGGGCAGGUUGAAGGUUGGGUAACACUAACUGGAGGACCGAACCGACUAAUGUUGAAAAAUUAGCGGAUGACUUGUGGCUGGGGGUGAAAGGCCAAUCAAACCGGGAGAUAGCUGGUUCUCCCCGAAAGCUAUUUAGGUAGCGCCUCGUGAAUUCAUCUCCGGGGGUAGAGCACUGUUUCGGCAAGGGGGUCAUCCCGACUUACCAACCCGAUGCAAACUGCGAAUACCGGAGAAUGUUAUCACGGGAGACACACGGCGGGUGCUAACGUCCGUCGUGAAGAGGGAAACAACCCAGACCGCCAGCUAAGGUCCCAAAGUCAUGGUUAAGUGGGAAACGAUGUGGGAAGGCCCAGACAGCCAGGAUGUUGGCUUAGAAGCAGCCAUCAUUUAAAGAAAGCGUAAUAGCUCACUGGUCGAGUCGGCCUGCGCGGAAGAUGUAACGGGGCUAAACCAUGCACCGAAGCUGCGGCAGCGACGCUUAUGCGUUGUUGGGUAGGGGAGCGUUCUGUAAGCCUGUGAAGGUGUGCUGUGAGGCAUGCUGGAGGUAUCAGAAGUGCGAAUGCUGACAUAAGUAACGAUAAAGCGGGUGAAAAGCCCGCUCGCCGGAAGACCAAGGGUUCCUGUCCAACGUUAAUCGGGGCAGGGUGAGUCGACCCCUAAGGCGAGGCCGAAAGGCGUAGUCGAUGGGAAACAGGUUAAUAUUCCUGUACUUGGUGUUACUGCGAAGGGGGGACGGAGAAGGCUAUGUUGGCCGGGCGACGGUUGUCCCGGUUUAAGCGUGUAGGCUGGUUUUCCAGGCAAAUCCGGAAAAUCAAGGCUGAGGCGUGAUGACGAGGCACUACGGUGCUGAAGCAACAAAUGCCCUGCUUCCAGGAAAAGCCUCUAAGCAUCAGGUAACAUCAAAUCGUACCCCAAACCGACACAGGUGGUCAGGUAGAGAAUACCAAGGCGCUUGAGAGAACUCGGGUGAAGGAACUAGGCAAAAUGGUGCCGUAACUUCGGGAGAAGGCACGCUGAUAUGUAGGUGAAGCGACUUGCUCGUGGAGCUGAAAUCAGUCGAAGAUACCAGCUGGCUGCAACUGUUUAUUAAAAACACAGCACUGUGCAAACACGAAAGUGGACGUAUACGGUGUGACGCCUGCCCGGUGCCGGAAGGUUAAUUGAUGGGGUCAGCGCAAGCGAAGCUCUUGAUCGAAGCCCCGGUAAACGGCGGCCGUAACUAUAACGGUCCUAAGGUAGCGAAAUUCCUUGUCGGGUAAGUUCCGACCUGCACGAAUGGCGUAAUGAUGGCCAGGCUGUCUCCACCCGAGACUCAGUGAAAUUGAACUCGCUGUGAAGAUGCAGUGUACCCGCGGCAAGACGGAAAGACCCCGUGAACCUUUACUAUAGCUUGACACUGAACAUUGAGCCUUGAUGUGUAGGAUAGGUGGGAGGCUUUGAAGUGUGGACGCCAGUCUGCAUGGAGCCGACCUUGAAAUACCACCCUUUAAUGUUUGAUGUUCUAACGUGGACCCGUAAUCCGGGUUGCGGACAGUGUCUGGUGGGUAGUUUGACUGGGGCGGUCUCCUCCUAAAGAGUAACGGAGGAGCACGAAGGUUGGCUAAUCCUGGUCGGACAUCAGGAGGUUAGUGCAAUGGCAUAAGCCAGCUUGACUGCGAGCGUGACGGCGCGAGCAGGUGCGAAAGCAGGUCAUAGUGAUCCGGUGGUUCUGAAUGGAAGGGCCAUCGCUCAACGGAUAAAAGGUACUCCGGGGAUAACAGGCUGAUACCGCCCAAGAGUUCAUAUCGACGGCGGUGUUUGGCACCUCGAUGUCGGCUCAUCACAUCCUGGGGCUGAAGUAGGUCCCAAGGGUAUGGCUGUUCGCCAUUUAAAGUGGUACGCGAGCUGGGUUUAGAACGUCGUGAGACAGUUCGGUCCCUAUCUGCCGUGGGCGCUGGAGAACUGAGGGGGGCUGCUCCUAGUACGAGAGGACCGGAGUGGACGCAUCACUGGUGUUCGGGUUGUCAUGCCAAUGGCACUGCCCGGUAGCUAAAUGCGGAAGAGAUAAGUGCUGAAAGCAUCUAAGCACGAAACUUGCCCCGAGAUGAGUUCUCCCUGACUCCUUGA
rnacentral:rRNA from 1 species